CUGGAUGUGAUGAGUUGGCAGUGUAUUGUUAGCUGGUUGAAUAUGUGAGUAGCACCAGCUAACGUGCAGCUGCUAACUUAUUGCAGACC
rnacentral:pre_miRNA from 15 species